rnacentral:rRNA from 1 species
UUAAUUUGAGAGUUUGAUCCUGGCUCAGGAUAAACGCUGGCGGCGCACAUAAGACAUGCAAGUCGAACGAACUUAAUUGAGAGCUUGCUCUCAAAGCGGUUAGUGGCGGACUGGUGAGUAACACGUAAGCAACCUGCCUAUUAGAGGGGAAUAACAGCGAGAAAUCGUUGCUAAUACCGCAUAUGCUGUGAGUAUCGCAUGAUACAAGCAGGAAAGGAGUAAUC